rnacentral:rRNA from 1 species
GAUGAACGCUGGCGGCGUGCUUAACACAUGCAAGUCGAACGGGAAACCUGUUAUUGAAACUUCGGUCGAUUUAAUUUGUUUCUAGUGGCGGACGGGUGAGUAACGCGUGGGUAACCUGCCCUGUACAGGGGGAUAACAACGAGAAAUGGUUGCUAAUACAGCAUAAGCGCACGGGACCGCAUGGUCCAGUGUGAAAAACUCCGGUGGUAUAGGAUGGACCCGCGUUGGAUUAGCGAGUUGGUGGGGUAACGGAUGACCAAGGCAACGAUCCAUAGCCGGACUGAGAAGGUGGACGGCCAGAUUGGGGCUGAGACACGGCCCAGAAUCGUACGGGUGGAAGCAGUGGGGAAUAUUGCACAAUGGGGGAAACCCUGAUGCAGCGACGCCGAGUGAAGGAAGAAGUAUCUCGGUAUGUAAACUUCUAUCAGCAGGGAAGAUAGUGACGGUACCUGACUAAGAAGCCCCGGCUAACUACGUGCCAGCAGCCGCGGUAAGAC